GAGGCACUCGGCUUCGCAACCUGGGUGUGCCUGGCCUGGGUGUGCGGGAGGACCCCAGAGGACCCCAGAGGACCCCAGGAGCAGGGGUCGCGCCGAAGAGCAGAGUCCGCGGCUGGAAACCAGGCAGGGGAGCCACGGAGUAGUCACACAGGUUUUCUGCCGCCUUUCAACUGGUCUUAUUUUGCUUUCAUUUUUCACCAGCCCAUGUGGGGUGUUUAAUGUUGCACGCGAACGCAGUUUCUUCCGGGCCCGGAAGGCCCACGCACGCAACAAUGUUGUGCAAGUGACUGGAAACCACCUGAGUGUCCCUCCAUGGGGGUGGGUUGCCCAGCAUGGACCUCUACUCCUGUCACAAUGAAGUCGACUGUUUCGUCGAGGGAAGUGGCCACCGUUGAUAAAAUGAAAAGACGCCAUGCAGAAUACUGUGCACAGGGAUCUGCGGAGAUGGACAGGACAGGAGACUAAGGAGGUGAGAACCCUGGCCCACACCAUCACUAAGGGCCCUUCCUGAGGUCUGCUUCCCACAUGAAGUCCUCCCAGGGCCCUGAAUCCAGCCAUCCACCUCCUUGUUGGACAUAGGCUCCAUUAGAGAGAUGCGGGGCUCCAGCCCCCCUUGCUCUGCCUCCC
rnacentral:lncRNA from 10 species